AUGCUUAAUUUUUACAUGUUAGAUCACGAAAGAAUAUCAGUAUGGCAGUCUGUGCAUUUUGUCUUGUCGGAUCGUCAAUCCGAGACUCUACGUUCAAUAUGCCGUCGCCGCCAUGUAGGCCGCCUCCGCUUCGGCAUCCGCCUACUUCUCUAUCGCCUCGAUCUCCUCAUGCUCCGCCCUCCCCAUAUCAUUCUCCUGCCACUGCAGCAUCUUGAAGCGGCGGCUUGCAUGAUCAUUCUUGCGUCGUCAUUCAAUUAUGUCACCUUGAAGGUGAGCAUCUUCGUGUCCUCCAAAGCGGUUGCGAUUUCCACCUUCUCCUCGAGUUUGGCCUUCUUCUAUUCGAUCAUGGCCCUCUUAUGUUCAAGCUUGUAG
rnacentral:rRNA from 1 species